AGAGUUUGAUCAUGGCUCAGGACGAACGCUGGCGGCGUGCUUAACACAUGCAAGUCAAGGGGGCCCAGCAAUGGGCAACCGGCGAACGGGUGCGUAACACGUGAGCAACCUACCGAACUGUGGGGGAUAGCCGGCCUAACGGCCGAGUAAUACCGCAUACGCUUUCAUUGAGGCAUUUCAGUGAAAGGAAACCUACGGGACAGAUCGAGGGGCUCGCGGCCUAUCAGCUAGUUGGCGAGGUAACGGCUCACCAAGGCUACGACGGGUAGCUGGUCUGAGAGGAUGGCCAGCCACAUUGGGACUGAGAUACGGCCCAGACUCCUACGGGAGGCAGCAGUGGGGAAUCUUGCGCAAUGGCCUAACGGCUGACGCAGCGACGCCGCGUGUGGGAUGAAGCUCUUCGGAGUGUAAACCACUGUUGCCCGGGACGAAUAGCUCGAUUAAUCGAGCCUGACGGUACCGGGUGAGGAAGCACCGGCUAACUCCGUGCCAGCAGCCGCGGUAAUACGGGGGGUGCGAGCGUUGUCCGGAAUCACUGGGCGUAAAGGGCGCGUAGGUGGUUUGAUAAGGGUGUGGUGAAAGUCCGGGGCUCAACCCCGGAUCUGCCGUGCCGACUGUCAAACUCGAGGGCUGUAGAGGCAGACGGAAUUCCGGGUGUAGCGGUGGAAUGCGUAGAGAUCCGGAGGAAGACCGGUGGCGAAGGCGGUCUGCUGGGCAGUUUCUGACACUGAUGCGCGACAGCGUGGGGAGCAAACAGGAUUAGAUACCCCCGUAGUCC
rnacentral:rRNA from 1 species